AUCAUGGUUUAUCACAUAUUGCUGUUUGGUUUGUUGCAAAUGGAACACACUAGUCAUUAAUUCGGAGAACUCUUGUUCAUCGCUGAGGAAGCAAGUGCUUGAGGAGUGACCAUUUUUUCUGUAUUAUUCUUUCAAAACUGAAUAAUGCUGGAUUAGGCCACAUUACCUUAUAGAUUGUGCCAUAGUACAAAAAUAGAAAAUGCCUGAAUCCGGUGUUAAAAUGCUUGUUACUGAGUGUCCGGAUUGAACCAAACAAAACGAAUGAUAUUGUAGUUAGAAACACAAACGAUCCUCUGAGAUGCCAGUUAAUCAUUAUUACCAAUUCAAAACUCAGAUGCAUUGACUACACUCUAUUACAUACAAAACAACAUCAAACUAAUUUUUGGAUGAAAAACAAUCGAGCAUCAUCUGUCAACUCUAAUCACUUUGUCAGUUCAGAACUUGUUCAAAGUGAAAGAUUGUAAAACUUUUCUGAAAUUAUUUAUUUUCGAAACACACAAUAUUUAAUGGUAUGUACUGCUUUCACAUGCUUGCUUAGAUCUACAUUUAUGAUAGAUAGUGCAGCAAGAUGAUUCAAGGGAGGCUUCAAAAGCACAAAAGAAGGGCCUUCAUUGCUUUUUAAUAAAGUCAUUAUUGAAAUAAGAUAGAUAUCAUUAGAACAUCCAAUAGCUAGCAUCCUUCCACAGAAGGGAAGGAGAAAAGAAAAGUAAAAGAGAAAAAAAGACUGGACAAAUGGAGGAUUUGGUUCUCUUUAGUUUUCAACUCUUUAAUUCCGUCUCCUAUCAUGUGAAACACUUAACUCUGAGAAAAAAGGACCUAUGGAAUAAUAAAGAAGAAUAAGGCUUUUAUGUUUUGUAUGCCGGAAAAAAUGUUGGGGAUAACAUCCUAAUUUGAUAAUAUAUUUUGCAGCAGAGUUGAUAGAGUCCCCAUGGGAACGAGUAGCAUUUCUCUUGCAAUAUAAAUUGCAGUUUACAAAAUCCUUUCUAAGCUUUUAAUGUUAACGAACAUGCUCUUACUUUCUUACAAAAGGAGGUCCUUGCUUGGAGACCAUCUUGUAUCACAUGCUGCAAAAAGUAACUAGUUAUUAAAAAAAAAACAUAAUGACCAACUUUGUGAGUUCACGUCUGAGAGUGGUGUGAUUGAUUUUGAGUAGUCGUCACAUCCUGGCCAGUAUCUCAUCUGUAACAAAUAUGCAGGACAUCUACAGAGUUGAAAUCACAAGACACCGAGGAAUCAUCAUCCCCAGCAAAUUCAAAACGCAUGAUAUCUCCUGUUUCUGAUGGAUCAAGAAAUUCCAUGGAUAGAGCCAACGGUUCAGACAUAUCUUCAGCACCAUCUAAUGGAAGCAGCAAAAGAAUCACUGAAAAUUCAUCAGGGUCAGGGAGAAAGCAAUCUAAGAGGGUAGACUCAUUCAGAGAAGAGGAGAGGGUGAUCAAAAUUGAAGAAAGCUUGCUUCUGGAGCUCGGGUUAUAAUCCAGUCUAAACCAUUUUGAGACACAGCUCUGAAAUAUUUUUGUUACAGAUGUUAGGCAGCUAGCAAAAACUGCUAGUUUACAAUUUUUGUUUGAAGGCAACAUGAUGGUGUAUAUCUAUGUCUGUCCAUGUGAUGUAUCCCUAAAUGAACAAAGUGAAAAUGUUGACAGAUUAUCGAGUGCAUGGGGAUUGGGGGGGCUAAUAGUGAAGGUGUGGUCCCAUGGUCUCCUAUUACAUCUUAUAGGGACACCACCUGAAAUCAAGUGAUUGCACAUUUUUUUGUCACUACACAUACUUAUAUAUAUGGUAUUAUUUUGGCCUGCA